CGGGGGAGCAAGCGUUGUUCGGAUUUACUGGGCGUAAAGGGCGCGUAGGCGGUCAGCACAAGUCAGUUGUGAAAUCUCCGAGCUUAACUCGGAAAGGUCAACUGAUACUGUGCGACUAGAGUGCAGAAGGGGCAACUGGAAUUCUCGGUGUAGCGGUGAAAUGCGUAGAUAUCGAGAGGAACACCUGCGGCGAAGGCGGGUUGCUGGGCUGACACUGACGCUGAGGCGCGAAAGCUAGGGGAGCGAACGGGAUUAGAUACCCCGGUAGUCCUAGCCUUAAACGAUGAAUGCUUGGUGUCUGGGGUUAUAUAGUCCCCGGGUGCCGUCGCUAACGCUUUAAGCAUUCCGCCUGGGGAGUACGGUCGCAAGACUG
rnacentral:rRNA from 1 species